GUGAGGAUGUGCUGCCCGGAUGCAGUCGUUGAGCUGUGAACUCAGCGUUGGAGUUCGAGUCUCCGCCUCACACCA
rnacentral:tRNA from 1 species